rnacentral:rRNA from 1 species
UACGUAGGGGGCGAGCGUUGUCCGGAUUUAUUGGGCGUAAAGAGCGUGUAGGCGGCCCUCCUAGUCGCGUGUGAAAGCCCCGGGCUCAACCUGGGAACGGCGCGCGAAACGGGGGGGCUGGAGUUCGGGAGAGGAGCGUGGAAUUCCCAGUGUAGAGGUGAAAUUCGUAGAUAUCGGGAAGAACACCGGUGGCGAAGGCGGCGCUCUGGACCGAGACUGACGCUGAGGCGCGAAAGCUAGGGGAGCAAACGGG